rnacentral:rRNA from 1 species
CAAAACGGAGAGUUUGAUCCUGGCUCAGGAUGAACGCUGGCGGUAUGCUUAACACAUGCAAGUCGAACGGUGU